rnacentral:lncRNA from 1 species
GAAAUCGCUGUGAUAGUUAAACCUGAGACCAGAGGAUGGACGGGAUUCCUGCUGGAGCAUUAGAGCUUGCAUGAGGAGCGAGAUCUUGGUUGCCCUAGAACCAUUUUAUGGAGGAAAAAAUCACCUGUGACUACUACUGCAGGCAUUUGAAUGGAUCACGCCUUUCAGUGGAGAUGAGACAUCUCUCUUGUUUAUGUGAGGAUCCUCCUUCUUAUCCCAAAAGGAGAAGAGAGGGGACAAAAAGGAAGGAGAGACCUUCUCCCCUGUUGCACACAGCAGGGCCAUGGGAUGCCGCUGGAUGCUGGUGAUUCCAUUUAUGCCAUCUGGCACAGUGCCCCACAUUACCCUCAGGUUCCUGGUGUGGCUGACAACUGGAAUGGCACCCAACUGGCUACUGGGAGCAUGGACUGGAAAGAUUCCCACUGACCUGGGGCCACCAAAAUUGGUGCACUGGAGCUGUGCACAAUUUGAAACACUUAAAACAAACCUUCCUUGCAUUUCUUUCUUCUUUCACUUGUAAACUGUGUUGAAGACAUCUGUUACCUUACACUAUAUAAUGACUAUACGCAUUACAAUUUAGACAAUUAUAAACCUACAAGCCCUAUAAAAUCAAUUGAAAAUCA